rnacentral:lncRNA from 1 species
AUGCUUUACUGUUUAGAACAGAAGGGGAGCAGGCUAGCGCCACAGGGAUGUUUAGGCAGGACGCGAUGGGUGCGUGACUCCUUGCUCAGCUGCCCUCCUGGUGCAGCUUUCCUGAGAGGAAGACCUGCAUCCUGGCAGAGACACCAGCUGGCCAGACGUGGGCCAAGCCAAGCUGGGCACAAGAGCCAGUGUGGAGGGAAGGAGGGAGCCACCAAACAGAAGAGCAGAGCUCUUGCGUCUUGGAAGCUGCAGACCCAGCUGGCUCUGCCCAGGCAGAAAUGCUCUCAGGCAAGGAAAGGAGGCUGUCCCUGCUGCCAUGGAGGUUUUGAGCAAGUGGCUUCUGAGUUGCACACAUACAACCGAGGGUGCUCUUUACCCAGAUGCUCACUCCAAGACGUUUUGAACCUAGACUCAAAAUUAAAAUAUGCACAUUCCCAGGAAACAUGA